AAUAAGCGCAACCAUGAGUUUCCGUGACCAAUUUUGAUCGUCCAUGUUAUUUAAAUAUUUUUAUGAUUAGUAUUUUUAUUGUUACUGGAUUAUAAAACAUGAAUAAUACUUUAUAUGUGCCUUAUGUUUUUUUAGAUUUCCAAAAAAAAUUUCAAAUAAGACGAAUGAUUAAAGUUGGACACAGAAACAUAUGGUUGCGCUUAUU
rfam:Oryza glaberrima chromosome 8 Oglab08_unplaced138_33, whole genome shotgun sequence.